AUUGGACGCUGGCGGCAUGCCUUACACAUGCAAGUCGAACGGCAGCACGGGGCAACCUGGUGGCGAGUGGCGAACGGGUGAGUAAUGCAUCGGAACGUACCUUUCAGUGGGGGAUAACGUAGCGAAAGUUACGCUAAUACCGCAUAUUCUGUGAGCAGGAAAGCAGGGGAUCGCAAGACCUUGCGCUGAUUGAGCGGCCGAUGUCAGAUUAGCUAGUUGGUGAGGUAAAGGCUCACCAAGGCGACGAUCUGUAGCGGGUCUGAGAGGAUGAUCCGCCACACUGGAACUGAGACACGGUCCAGACUCCUACGGGAGGCAGCAGUGGGGGAUUUGGACAAUGGGGGCAACCCUGGUCCAGCCAUGCCGCGUGAGUGAAGAAGGCCUUCGGGUUGUAAAGCUCUUUCGGCCGGGAAGAAAUCGCACGGGCUAAUACCCUGUGUGGAUGACGGUACCGGAAUAAGAAGCACCGGCUAACUACGUGCCAGCCGCCGCCGUAAGAC
rnacentral:rRNA from 1 species